GCUGGUGUAGCUCAGCAGGUAGAGCAGCUGAUUCGUAAUCAGCAGGUCAUGUGUUCGAAUCACACCACCAGCUCCA
rnacentral:tRNA from 1 species